rnacentral:rRNA from 1 species
CGGCAAAAGCUCAAAUUUGAAAUCUGGCUCUCUAUGGGAGUCCGAGUUGUAAUUUGCAGAGGGUGCUUUGGUGUCGGCAGCGGUCUAAGUUCCUUGGAACAGGACGUCACAGAGGGUGAGAAUCCCGU